UGCUGUGGCUGACUGAGGAAGGGGCUGCUGGAUCAUCUGAAUGCAGGGACUCUGCUGAGAGAAGGCAAGCAAAGAGGAGGUCCCGGCAGCGAGAGAGAUGCUGCCGCUCUGGGAGAUGGAUGUCAUGCAACCAGCACCUUGCACUAGAGGUCAAGAGACAUGCCUUCCAACCUCUGCUCUUCAUCAACCAGCUGCAGUGCCUUAAGAGCAUCAUGGGAGCCCCUAGUCUUGAUGGUUGUGUCAAUAACACUGCAGGUCAGACUGAAGAGCUGCUCUUCAGGAAUCCUGGCACCAGACUAGGACUGCUGGGACACCCAGCCCCAUGGACAGACAAACGGCUGCUGGAUCCCUUGGUAUCGGCUACCAUACACAGAGGAGUCACGUUAGUCCUGCACCUCAUAAGGCGUGAUCACAGUCCAACACUGAGGGAAGACAGGGCAGGAAUCCAAAGGAAGAAACCAUGGAAGAUGCUGCUUGCCGGCUUGCUCUCUGGAUUCUCAGCUG
rnacentral:lncRNA from 1 species